CUCUUGCUAUGUACAUCUGUUGAAUUCACAUAGUAUUACUACUGCUACUACUAUUUUUCAAGCCAAAACAUAAAAUUGAAUUUAAAAUUUAAAUCACAUGGAACCACAAUGCAGAUAAACAGUCUCCUUCUCUUCAACUUCUUACCUACAAAGUCUUCCUUUCAUCACUUUUGGUCUCAUGUUUUUCGCGUGAGAGUGAGAGUGAUAACACUCCACUUUAAAGAAAGAGCUGCAUAUUUUUCAGCUUGAUGUCACAGAAGGAAAAUGCUGCUGCGCUGUUAGAUUUUGAAAGUGUAAGCAAUUGCCAAAAAGACCGCUCUCAGCGGUUAUCUUUUAUAAAUGCUGGUGACCAUUACAUUAAAAAGGAACUUUGGAAUGUUGCAGCCUGAAUUAUUUGAGUCAUCACAGCAGAAUCCAGCAAAACACCAAGCAAAGGGCAUAGAAUAAAAACAGUAUCAUGUCACUCCCAGUGACAGCCUGAGGGUGUCAUUUGUUCUACUGAUGUAUUGCAAAUAAAAAAGAGAAAGGAAAAUUAGGACCACAUCACAAGUGAAAAAUAGCUGCAAAUAUCCCUGUAAAUAAUUCCGAGACCAUGGAGGUGGUCUAAUGCCAAGGCCAACUCAGCUAAGUAGAACUUGACAUCCUCUUCUGUAAACAUCACCUAGAGAGAAGGAAGAGAAGACCACAUCUAUUUAUUGGACAGUGGUGGGCUGGCUUGCCUUAAACAGACACAGGGAAGGAAUUUUCUAAGCUGGGAAUGCUGGAAGGACCAUCAUAUCAGCACAGGAGUUGGUGAAUUGCCCUGGACAAACUGUGGGGAAAACAUGAAGCUUUUAAAGAAAUACAAAGUCUGAGCUGUUAACUUCCACUGUUGAGUUUCCUGGCUGUGUGGAACAGGGACCUGCCCGCUUAGGUAAGAGACACAUUUUCUGUCUUCUUCCAUGAAACCAAAGAGGCCCUUGCUGAGACAGCAGCACUGCCUCACUAAUAAAGCUUGAUCUCAUGACAAUAGCAGAAGGAUAUUUUAAAUUCAAAUUUUUGAAAUAUUUUUCCUCAUAUUAAAAAUAACUGCUACCAGGGACUGAAUAUUUAUAUAAAGAUCAUUACUCAGCAGUGUAAUUAACUUGUUACUAAUGUCUUCUUGCAUUAGCAAAUAAGCCUUAAAAGCAAAAGCUUGGGGUCCCAAGUUGCAGUGCACACAACA